CACACACUCAUGUUAUCUUGUUCUCCUUUGUUUUCCUUUCAAAAUAGCCAAAGGGGAGAACUUGUAUUGCUCAAUAAUAUUUCCAUUAUGAGCAUUGCAGGGUUGGAAGGAACUUAAGUAAUAACAAUAUACUAACCCUCUGUGAUCUUUCUGAUGUGGACUUGGUCUUCUGGACUCUAGAGGUGCAGGUCAUUUUCUAUCAACAUCACUUCCUGUGUUGGCACACCGCCAUACACCGCUCCAGCUGGGGGCUAAACGACGUGAGGGGGUGGUGUUAACACAGCACCACUGGGUGAAGAACCUUGUCGAUGAGGUCUCUGGCCAGGGUGGGUGAGUCCCCCAAAGAACUGUAAUGGCCGUGUGUUCAAGACCAGCGCGAGCCACCGAGUUGGAGGACAUCAGCUGUUGUCCGGCAUGGAGAGGUAUGGGCGCUACCAAGCCUUGCCAGCUCAAGACACGCAAAAGCAUCCCUACAACCCAUAGGCAGGUUGCGGGAUACGAACCAAACCAAACCAAGCCAAACUGAACCGAAGUUAUGAGUGUUGUAUAUAUGUAUUACUUUGGUUGACACUGAUUGUGAGAAUACUCGACAGUAUUUGUAUCUUCAAGCACACAAUGAUUCUGUAUUAAAUUUAAUAUGUAUUUUACCUAGCUUUCUGCAGUUUCACAAGUAAGAGAUCUUAUUUAAGAACUCUGAAGAAAGCUUCCAUCUCAGGUGAUUUUUGACAAGUUGUUUAACUUGCUGUAUAGCUGUGGAGAUAUGCACUCCACGGGCAGUAGACUUGACAAAAUGUUGGGAGAUUUUUCUGUGGCAAGCUCUUCAACAUCAUUUCAAGUCAUCUUCAAAUUACGUCACAUGGUAUGGAUCAACUCCAGCUUUGCCCACAAAAAGAGGAAAAACCUAUUCAAUAUGCUUGGAUAGACCCACCCUAAUUUGGCUUGAAUUGUUUGGCAGGAAGAGUAAUUUAAAACUUUGAAAGCAUUUAGAAACUUUCAAAUCACUUUGAAUGAUGUAAACCCAGCAGCCCUUAAUUUUUUAAAUUAGUAAGCUGUUGUAAAUAAUUUUAGAUCAGAAAUGUUAAUUCUUUUUGAAUUAGUUUGCCACGGGAAAAGGUUUUUUUAGGAAUUUAUUUUUAAGUCAACAUGCUACUUUAAAUCUUCCAUUAUUGUCUUCUGUGAUGGGAAAACAUUCCUUGCACUCCCACAGACUUGCUCUAAAUUGAUUUCAUGUGUGCUGGCCAAUUGAUAGAAGCUGACGCUCACUGGUUGAGCUGCAUCUACUUGGAGCAAAGCCUGCAUAGUCAUUUUGACAGCAUGUUUGGAAGCCUAGAUAUCCUGGUUGCCAUAAGUUUUUACUGACGGUGAAUAUUGUUAGUUUUCAUCAUUGCCAUUGCAAAAUCCAGGCUGGACACAAAGGGUAUUUCCAGUUUAAUUGUUCUGUCAGCAGACUGGAAAGUCUCUUAAUACCCAAUUGAGUUUCAGUCUGAAGCCUCACAAAGCCAUGUUAACUACCCUAAUCAAACUGUGCUCCUCCAAAUGCUCGUAAAUUUUGUCUUUAAGAAUUCUCUCUCAGCAGUGACACAAGACUCGCUAGUCUGUAAUUCCCAGGGUUACCCCUAUUCCCCCUUUCUUCAACAAAGGAAUAACAUUUACCAUCCUCCAAUCUUGUAGCACCACUUCUGUGAGGACACUGAGAUCAUCUCAAUAGCCACAACAAUCUAUUCCCUCUCUUCCCGUAGCUAUCAGGAGUGUAUUCCAUCCAGCUCAGGGGACUUACUGAUGCUAACCUUUAACAAAAGUUCCAGCACGUUCUCUUUCUUAUCGUCGUCACAUCAGCCUGUUCUAUGCUGACCUCACAUUCAUCAAGGUCGCUCUCACUGGUGAAUACUGAAGCAAAGUAUUCCUCUGCCUCUAGGUGCAUGUUUCCUCUUUUAUCCCUGAUUAUCCCUCAGUGUAGGACUGUAUGUUGUAGAAUGCCUAGGAUUAGACUGAAGUUUUUUCUAUGCAUCUUAAUAUUCUCAUAGCAUAAUGAUUUACUGCUGCUCUGAUUUUUGCAGUAUUUAAUUAUCUGAUAAAAAUGAUCUUUCACAUUUUACUACUGUCUCUGACCGGUGUUCUGGCAACAUUUCUGUGACUACCGUUAGUAGGACUGGACAUUGAGAGAUCAUUGAAGGAAAAUAGAAUUCUUUGCUCCCUCGUUUUGCAUUGGCAAAUGUAAUAACAGUGCUGAAAGUCUUCAGACUGAUUUCACCACCAACAGUAACAUGAACAGAACCUCAAUGAGCAACUGACUGUAUUGGGCCAGAGAUAUAUUAACACCAUUUAACGGAUGCUUGGAUGUGUACAAGGGUUGGGUAGGUUUAGAGGGAUAUGGGUCAAACUCAGGCCCAUGGGACUAGCUUAGAUGAGAGUCAUGGUCAGCAUGGACCAUUUGGACCAAAGGGCCUGUUUCCAUGCUGUAUGACUAUGUCUAGGGUGCUCAUGUUACUAUUGGAAAAUAUUUAGAUACAGAGUACUCUAUGUUCAGAUAAUUGAUAUUGUUAGUGAAGUGCGCUCAUACUUGCUUCUGUGGCAACACCAGUUUACAUACAUGAAGUCAAAUUUAACCCUUUAGCCAAGGAAAUCCAUUAAGUGACGUACCUUGUGUGCUAUGUGAAUGUACAAGUGCAAAAACAAUUAUGUAAUAUGAUCAGCACCUCCCUAAACACGCUGUGAUAGUGCAUAUUAGCAUGCAACACGGGAGUUCAGAUUCUAUUUCAACAAUUAGAAAUGCAAAACAAGUAGACGGAAGAGUGGAGGUUUAACUAAAAAGAAAUACAGCUGCUCAUGACAGAAUGAAGACCAGCUAUUAAAUAUUGAGAGGACUAGAUAGAGUGGAUGUAAAGAGAAUGCAGGGGUAUCUGGGAUCAAACUUCAUAGCCUCAGAAUAGAGGGACGACACUUUAGAAUAGAGAUAAGGAAGUGCCACAAUCCUGAUUGAUAAGUUACAGAAACUGGGCCUCUGCACCUUCCUCUGCAACUGGAUCCUCAACAUCCUAACCGGAAGACCACAAUCUGUGCAGAUUGGUGAUAAUAUCUCCUCCUCGCUGACCAUCAACACUGGUGCACCUCGGGUGUGUGCUUAGCCCACUGCUCUACUCUCUUUAUACCCAUGACUGUGGGUAGAAGGUCAUAAAUUUAGUCGGCUCCAUCUUGGGUACUAGCCUACAAGGUACCCAGGACAUCUUCAAGGAGCGGUGUCUCAGACAGACAGCACCCAGGGCAUGGCCUUUUCUCACUGUUACUAGAAGGUAGGAGGUACAGAGCCUGAGGCACAGACUCAGCGAUUCAGGAACAGCUUCUUCCCCUCUGCCGUCCAAUUCCUAAAUGGACAUUGAACCUGUGAACACUACCUCUGAUUUUGCAUGAUUUUUAAUCUAUUCAAUAUACAUAUACUGUAAUUGAUUCACUUAUUCACUUUUUUUCUUCUUCUGUAUUAUGUAUUGCAUUGAACUGCUACAAAUUUCAAGACACAUGCCGGUGAUAAUAAACCUGAUUCUGAUUCUGAAUUUCUUUAGCCAGCGGGUGGUGAAUCUGUGGAAUUCAGGUGGCUGUGGAGACCAAGUCUUUGGGUAUAUUUAAAGCAAAGGAUUAUAAGUUCUUGAUUAGUAAAGGUUGUCAAAUGUUAUGGGAAGAAGGCAGGAGAAUGGGGUUGAAAGAGAUAGUAAAUCAGCCAUGAUGGAAUGGCGGAGAAGGCACAGUGGCUGAAUGGCCUGAUUCUGCUCCUGUGUCCUGUUGUCUUGAUUAUGAGUUAAAUAUUUGUACUACCUGAGCUGCUCUUAAUGCACUUAAAACGGUCAAGCGACCUUCUCUGAUGAAUCACAUGCUUUCCCAUGUUCUGAGUAAAGCUCUCUUCUACUUUUGGGUGGGCCAGUUAUUCUCCCCUCCCCUUCUCCUUCACGAUUCUCCACCCCCUUUUCUCUCUCUCACCUUACCUCCUUGCUUGCCCAUCGCCUCCGUCUCGUGCUCCUCCCCCUUUUUCUUUCUUCCAUGGCCUUCUAUCCCCUUCUAUCAGACUCCCCCUUCUCCAGCCCUGUAUCUCUUUCACAUAUCAACUUCCCAACUCUUUACUUCACCCCUCCCCUUCCUGGUUUCACCGAUCACCUUGUACUUCUCCCUCCCCUCCCCCCACCUUUUAAAUCUACUCCUCAGCUUUUUUCUCCAGUCCUGCCGAAGGAUCUUGGCUCAAAACGUCGACUGUACUCUUUUCCAUAGAGGCUGCCUGGCCUGCUGAGUUCCUCCAGCAUUUUGUGUGUGUUGCUUCUCCAUACUUACCUUGAACAUUCAUCUCUGCUUUCACAAUGUCUAAUUGUUAAUCAGAGAAGUGGGCUCUUGUGUUCGUCCCAAUGCUGCCGGUUCCACCAGACUCACUUCUUAGCCUCAUUGAAAACUUACAGUGGAGAUGAGACCAUUCAGUCAUAAUGUGUGUUUCAGUGAAAAAAAAGAAUUUUAGUGUAAUCCACAUUCUAGCACAAAGCCUGUGGCUCUGGUUCUUUACUUAUACAUAGUUAUGUACAUUUUAAGUACGAUGAAUGUUUCUGAUUUUAUUUUUUUGGCAUCUGAAUGCAACCCCCAUCACCAAGAGAAACAAGGGUGACAGGUGUAUAAGAACAACACCAUCAUCAUGUGGCUGUCUAUGUCACAUACCAUCCUGACUUGGAAACAUAUUGCUGUUCCUCCAGCAUUGAUGGGUCAAAACUUUAGAACUGCCCUACCUCACACUUCCAUUGGAGAACCUUUACCACUUUGACAAACGUCAGUAGAUGCACAGUGAGUAGUAUCCUGACUGGUUGUAUCGUGGACUGGUAUGAAGACAACAAUGCUUCACCUGCUUCAUCAAUGGAAGAGUUUGUGGCUCGUACAUAUUGCAUCAGCCAUCCCAUUACCCCCCAAAACCACAGUGUAAGUAAUACAUCCUCAUUCUGAUAUAGGAGAAGAAAAAAUACCCCAUUAUGAAGCACAGUUAAAUGUAUGACUCCACUAAGGUACACUUGAUUCAUUCUUCAAACCUUACACUACCAUCCUAAUAAAUAAACAGAAAGAUUCUGCAGAUGCUGGAAAUCCAAAGCAACGCACAUAAAAUUUUGGAGAUACUCAGCAGGUCAGGCGGCAUCUAUGGUGAGGAAUAAACGGUGGACAUUUUGGUCCAAAGAUGCUUCAUCAGCACUGACGAGGACACCAUCCUAAUAAAUGUUUCUUUUUUUUU